UACGAAGGGAGCUAGCGUUGUUCGGAAUUACUGGGCGUAAAGGGCGCGUAGGCGGCGCCAUAAGUCAGAUGUGAAAGCCCCGGGCUUAACCUGGGAGGUGCAUUUGAUACUGUGGGGCUAGAGAUCGAGAGAGGAAAGUGGAAUUACGAGUGUAGAGGUGAAAUUCGUAGAUAUUCGUAAGAACACCAGUGGCGAAGGCGACUUUCUGGCUCGAUACUGACGCUAAGGCGCGAAAGCGUGGGGAGCAACAGG
rnacentral:rRNA from 1 species